rnacentral:rRNA from 1 species
UGAGCAAUCUGCCCUUCUCAUCGGAAUAAGCGUUGGAAACGACGUCUAAUGCCGAAUACGACCUCCUUUCGCAUGAUCGGAGGUGGAAAGCUCCGGCGGAGAAGGAUGGGCUCGCGGCCUAUCAGCUUGUUGGUGAGGUAACGGCUCACCAAGGCGACGACGGGUAGCCGGCCUGAGAGGGUGACCCGGCCACACGUGGGACUGAGACACGGCCCAGACCUCCGUACGGGGAGGNAGACG